UUGGCGGCAGCCUUACACAAGCAAGUUGAACGGCCCCGCAAGGGGAGUGGCAGACGGGUGAGUAACGCGUGGGAACGUACCCUUUGGUUCGGAAUAACUCAGGGAAACUUGAGCUAAUACCGGAUACGUGCGAGAGCAGAAAGAUUUAUCGCCGAAGGAUCGGCCCGCGUCCGAUUAGCUAGUUGGUGAGGUAAAGGCUUACCAAGCCUACGAUCUGUAGCUGGUCUGAGAGGACGACCAGCCACACUGGGACUGAGACACGGCCCAGACUCCUACGGGAGGCAGCAGUGGGGAAUUUUGGACAAUGGGCGCAAGCCUGAUCCAGCAAUGCCGCGUGAGUGAUGAAGGCCUUCGGGUUGUAAAGCUCUUUCGCCAGGGACGAUAAUGACGGUACCUGGAUAAGAAGCCCCGGCUAACUUCGUGCCAGCAGCCGCGGUAAUACGAAGGGGGCUAGCGUUGUUCGGAUUUACUGGGCGUAAAGCGCACGUAGGCGGUUUUUUAAGUCAGGGGUGAAAUCCCCGGGCUCAACCUGGGAACUGCCUUUGAUACUGCAGGGCUGGAGUUCGGCAGAGGG
rnacentral:rRNA from 1 species